rnacentral:tRNA from 1 species
GGAGAGGUCGCAUAGUCCGGUCGAGUGCGCACGAUUGGAAAUCGUGUAGGUGUAACAGCCUCGAGGGUUCGAAUCCCUCCCUCUCCG